rnacentral:rRNA from 1 species
CUACGGGAUGCACCAGUGGGGAAUAUUGCACAAUGGAGGAAACUCUGAUGCAGCAACGCCGCGUGGAGGAUGACACUUUUCGGAGCGUAAACUCCUUUUAUAUAGGAAGAAGAUGACGGUACUAUAUGAAUAAGCGCCGGCUAACUCCGUGCCAGCAGCCGCGGUAAUACGGAGGGCGAAAGCGUUACUCGGAAUCACUGGGCGUAAAGAGCGUGUAGGCGGAUUAAAAAGUCAGAAGUGAAAUCCUAUAGCUUAACUAUAGAACUGCUUCUGAAACUCCUAAUCUAGAAUAUGGGAGAGGUAGAUGGAAUUUCUGGUGUAGGGGUAAAAUCCGUAGAGAUCAGAAGGAAUACCGAUUGCGAAGGCGAUCUACUAGAACAUUAUUGACGCUGAGACGCGAAAGCGUGGGGAGCAAACAGGAUUAGAUACCCCCGUAGUC